UUGCAUUCUAGUAUGUUUAAAAGGAAACAUUGCCACAUUUGGUUGUCAUUGAACUCUGCAUCUUCCAGCAUUCUGGAAGAAGUUGUUUGCCACAGUCCCUUAGCCUACUUCAGCUUUCCAAGUUCCAUCUGCAAUUUCAAUCAUUUAAUAAUCCCUGUAGCAGCACGGUCUUUGAAUACACAAAGGAAUUUUGAUUACAUUACAUGCUGCCAAAAUUAAAAAAAUAAAAUAAAAGACUUCUCAAACAGUCUUGGUUUUCCCCCUCUUAGUUUUCAUGGCUAUGGGGAUGUCGGCAGGAAACAUAACAGUCCAAGCUAUCUUUCGGAGCUUAUUAAAUAGCUGCUCUCCAGGAGGUAGCCUUGGAGCUUAUUAAAUAGCUGCUCUCCAGGAGGUAGCCUUGCAUAUGCCUGCACCCAAGCUGGCGCUCCGGGCCCGGGCUGCCUUCAGGUUGUUGCUUGUUCAAGGCAUGUUCCGUGCUGAUGGGACUGAUUCCCCUCUCUUACCUCUCAACUGUUCCUGAUCAGCCACAUCGCACUGGAUGAACAGAGUCUUCUGCGGUUCAAACUGCUCAUCCAGGGCAGCUUUACACUUUACACCUGCUUCAAGGUUCCAGUCGACCAGCGCUACCUAUAAAGAGCAGAGGAAUCGAGGUUCUGCGCAGCUUGUGAAACAAACAGCCGGACGAACAGUAAAUACACACCGGGACGCUGCCCCUUCUUGGACCUCAAACUCUGCAAUUAAAAUUCGGGGUCUCUCCCCACCGCCUUCGAGGUCUGCUCCAGACCGUCAGCCUCAGCAGCUUUUGAAAGUGGCAAAGGUAAAAUAAUCCAGUAACUUGGUGGAGACAGAUGCAAUGAGAGUGUCCACGAGUUGACAGAUAAUGUUGGAAAAGUGGGGAAGACUUCGGGGAGCUUCAUAAGGCAUUUGCCUCCAUUCGUCUACACACACAAAAAUAUCCGUUCCAAAAGAAACCAGAAGGUCUGGCAACUCUCUACAUAUGUGACCAUCUCUUUUUUUGUGUGCCUUGGGAAGGACAGCUCUCUUCUAACUGGCAGGCACUAUUGGAUCCCAUCCAAGAUAUUACAUCACAUUUAAUUGUCACGUCUCUUUAGGCUUCUCGG